rnacentral:rRNA from 1 species
UGAGUACGAGCUGCUACGGCAGCGAAGUGGGUGAUGUCAAGCUUCCAAGAAAAGCCCUAUACCCGUUAAGGCAUGACGGCCUGUACCCGAAACCGACACAGGUGGGGUGGUAGAGAAUACCGAGGGGCGCGAGAUAACUCUCUCUAAGGAACUCGGCAAAAUGGCCCCGUAACUUCGGGAGAAGGGGUGCCACCGCAAGGUGGUCGCAGUGAAGAGGCCCAGGCGACUGUUUACCAAAAACACAGGUCUCCGCUAAGUCGCAAGACGAUGUAUGGGGGCUGACGCCUGCCCAGUGCCGGAAGGUUAAGGAAGCUGGUCAGCGCAAGCGAAGCUAGCGACUGAAGCCCCGGUGAACGGCGGCCGUAACUAUAACGGUCCUAAGGUAGCGAAAUUCCUUGUCGGGUAAGUUCCGACCCGCACGAAAGGCGUAACGAUCUGGGCGCUGUCUCGGAGAGAGGCUCGGCGAAAUAGAAUUGUCUGUGAAGAUGCGGACUACGUGCACCCGGACAGAAAGACCCUAUGAAGCUUUACUGUAGCUUGGUAUUGUGCCCGGGCUCUGAAUGCGCAGGAUAGGUGGGAGGCUUUGAUCCAUUGCUUGUGGGUAGUGGUGAGCCAACGGUGAGAUACCACUCUUUCAGAGCUAGGGUUCUAACCCUCACCCGUUAUCCGGGGAGGGGACAGUAUCAGGUGGGCAGUUUGACUGGGGCGGUCGCCUCCUAAAAGGUAACGGAGGCGCGCAAAGGUUUGCUCAGGCUGGUUGGAAAUCAGCCGACGAGUGUAAAAGCAGAAGCAAGCUUGACUGUGAGACCAACAAGUCGAACAGGGACGAAAGUCGGCUUUAGUGAUCCGACGGUUCUGAGUGGAAGGGCCGUCGCUCAACGGAUAAAAGUUACUCUAGGAUAACAGGCUGAUCUCCCCCAAGAGUUCACAUCGACGGGGAGGUUUGGCACCUCGAUGUCGGCUCAUCGCAACCUGGGGCUGAAGUCGGUCCCAAGGGUUGGGCUGUUCGCCCAUUAAAGCGGUACGCGAGCUGGGUUCAGAACGUCGUGAGACAGUUCGGUCCAUAUCCGGUGCAUGCGUAAGAACAUUGACAGGAGCUCUCCCUAGUACGAGAGGACCGGGAGGAACGCACCUCUGGUGUACCAGUUAUCGUGCCAACGGUAAACGCUGGGUAGCCAUGUGCGGAGAGGAUAACCGCUGAAAGCAUCUAAGUGGGAAGCCCACCUGAAGAUGAGUGUUCUCAUGGCUUAAGCCAGUAAGGUCACGGGAAGAACACCCGUUGAUAGGCUCUACGUGGAAGCGCAGCAAUGCGUGAAGCGGAGGAGUACUAAUAGACCGAGGGCUUGAU